UCUUGGUUGUCUUUUCUUGUUAAAUGUUUUCCUUGACAAUCUCAUCCACAUCCAGGUUCCAUGCCCAUUUAUAUUCUAAGCUCCAUCACCGUCUGCACUGGCAGUUCAACUUCAACGGCCCCUGAAAGUCUGCUCCUCCUUUCAUAGAUCCUGAGUAAAUGGCACACUAUUAAUUCAAUGGCUCAAUCCAGAAAUUUCAUCUUAUAGUCAAUCAAUCACCAAUUCCUGUCAAUUCGAUUCCUGCAAUCUCUUACAUCUGUCCACUUCUAUGAUUCUGUAGAAUGUAGAUCCACGAUGUACGAAGUGUAGUCCCUGGACUAGCAGCAUCAGUAUUUGCAUCAGCAUCUACUAGAAACUUGUUAAAAAUGCAAAUUCUCCAGUGCCAUCCCAGACCUACUAAUUAAGAAACUCUAGGAGUGGGCCCAGCAGUCUGUUUUAGCAAGCUCUCCAGGUGAUUCUAAUGCCUGCUAGAGUUUAAGAACCACUGGUAUAGCUUAGAUUAUUACCUUACAGAAGCACAAGUUAAAGGGAAGACCUGGCCUCAUAUAAUCAGCAGAAUGACCUUAGAGCCUGGACAUUCAGAAGGCACAGAAUACAGGCGAUAAGCCUAUAACUACAUUACAAGAAGAAAAAGGACCUGAGAAAGAAAAACAAAGGGAAGAAGGGAGACAUAGAACUUGAAUGAGUAGGAGGAACUGGAAAACUCCAGGGUUCCAUUUGCAGCUGUGGCUACAAUCCUCCAUGAUUUGAUGGGUGAGGACUGUGCUAGGUGAAGGGAAACAGAAAUGAAGAGAACAGUCUCUCCAUCCGCAAAGAAUUCACAGUAUUAGAGUGGAAAAAGAAAAAAAUGGCUCCCUUGAGAAUUUACAAUAGACCUAAUAUUUUAAGUCAAAGGAGGCUGGGCGCAGUGUCUCAUUCCUGUAACCACAGCACUUUGGGAGGCCAAGACAGGAGAAUCAUUUGAGCCUAGAGGAGUUCUGGACCAGCCUGGGCAACAGGGCAGAACAAUGUCUCUACAAAAAAUAAAAAAAUUAGCUGGGCUUAGUGGUGUGUGCCUGUGGUACCAGCUGCUUGGGAGGCUGAGGUGGGAGGAUGGCUUGAGUCCAGGAGGUUGAGGUCACAGUAAGCCAUCAUGUCGUCACUGCACUCCAGCCUGGGUGACAGAGUGAGACCCUGACUCAAAAGAAAAAAGGAUCAAAAGAGAGAGGU
rnacentral:lncRNA from 1 species